ACGACAUUUCGAACAUGGUYCUUGCCUUUUACCAGAACCAUCCGGGUAUUGUCAGCAACAUGAUUUCUGUAAUCACUAAAAGUUAUAGUGAA
rnacentral:snRNA from 1 species